GUAACGAGCGCAACCUUCGUCUUAGUUACCAGCACGUUAUGGUGGGCACUCUAAGGAGACUGCCGGUGACAAACCGGAGGAAGGUGGGGAUGACGUCAAGUCAUCAUGGCCCUUACGGCCUGGGCUACACACGUGCUACAAUGGUCGGUACAAAGGGUUGCCAAGCCGCGAGGUGGAGCUAAUCCCAAUAAAAACCGAUCGUAGUCCGGAUCGCAGUCUGCAACUCGACUGCGUGAAGUCGGAAUCGCUAGUAAUCGUGAAUCAGAAUGUCACGGUGAAUACGUUCCCGGGCCUU
rnacentral:rRNA from 1 species